rnacentral:piRNA from 1 species
UGGUACAUAUGGGUUUUCAGCUGCC